CUCGCUACUGGUCUCCCCUCGACGCAUGUGUACGUAUACGAUUUUUAUCUAGUACCCCAGACGACCGAUCUGUAUAUAAACAGAUACCGAAUUAUCUCAUACGGUAAAACACGAUAAAAGCCAUUGAGGAUGCGCGGCAUUCGCUGUGGCGGCAUUUGCCCCUUAUAUUUAUACUCGAUUUCAAAACUACUUGAGCUUUGCAUGUGUCGGUGUAUUAGCAGAUAUCCAAUCCUCUAGGCUAACGCCGUCUUGCCGACGUAUCGUAACCGGAAAGUGUAUGUAUGGCGGUGAACAUCCGUGAACGUAGCGACAGACGGCGCUAAGAGCAGCUAGGAGUAGCAAACAAAACACGGAGUCGGUUGUUGGCGCAGUGGUAAAAACAUGCAGAAGAAAACCACCGAAACGUGAAGGCGAACUGGGUACCGCCUGCGAUGGAAUUUGCCGUGGAAAAACGGAGUAUAUUUGUGUAAUUAACGAUGGGAAUUCGAUAUGCGAAGCUCGCCAGUGGAGCCAUCGAGUGACUCGUCGGUAAGGACACGCGCUCGACGGAAAAGGUGAUCUGUCUAUGAUUGUAGAUCUUAACAUCUGAAAAUGUCGCAACCAACGCAAGACACAGACAUCACAAGUUCUAUUUCACCCUUACUCCAUGUCCAGGAUCAUGAUGUCCGUGAAAAACUUGGAACCGGAAAGGGUGUAAAAAAAUUAUUGCAAAGAAAACCUCCUACCUCAUUAAGUAUGGAAACUGUGUAUACGAACGAGGAAGAAUCUCAACCUAAUGGAGCUGUAAAACACCAAGGUUCUGAGCUCCUGAAAUCCCUGGGCAAAAACUUUCCUUGGCUCGUUAAAUUUUCAAGAGUCCUUGAGUCAUCAGUUGGUAGCAAGAAUGUCAAGCUGCUUGAUCGUUUACUAAGUGUAUAUAUAGAGAAUAUGUCACGCGAUGUGAAUAAGUGUUACACUAAGCCCCAUAGAGCAGCCAAGCUAAAGGCUCAAAUGAGCCAAACUUUGAUGUUUUUUCAUCUCUACUGGAAAAAUAUUAAAGAGAGAGUUGAUGAUCAUAAUCAAUAUUUGGAUAAGAUGUCAGAGAUAUUGGGAAUGUAUUUUGACAUGGAGCUUAAGGCGUCUCGUAGAGGCAAAGAUUUGGCUUCAAAAAUUGCUGCCAAGCUACUUACGGCCAUGUUCAUAUAUCUGGAUAAUUCAGAAGAACAUAUAUUCAGGGUUUUGUUGAGGGCCAAAUUCAUAACCAAAAAUUACAUUCAAAUAUGCAGUCCCAUACUUACAAAAUUGUUCGCUGGUUUAUCCGGUCGCACAACAAGCAUCACGGAUGUGACUUAUGUUCGUUACUUAUUGGCUUUGAAAUUAUGGAAACGAAUAAAGGAUGACCUGCAGGAGAAGAAGAAUAUUAACGAAUUGGCCGUUGCAAUACUUGGUCAAAGAACUCCGAUAUCGAAUACCGAGCUUGGAAAGAUUAUACCAAAACCGCCAGAGUGUCAUAAGAAUGGAACUUUGUGGUUACUGCAACCUAAUUCAUUUGAUCUACGCAAAGCUUGCGACAGUUUUAUUAAAUAUGAAUUAAGCGAACACAUUAUUUCACUGCCAGAUUCUAUUGAAAGAUUCAAAGUUAUGGAUAGCAUUGACAUGGUGCCUUCUGCGCAGAUCAACUUGGAAUCUAUUAACAGAUUACAACAAGAAGAUAUUCUUCAGCUAAAUAAAUCUGUGGUUGGAUUACAGCCUGUUAAAAAAGUGGUGAAAUUGAGAAGGUUCAUACCUUCCUUUCCAAAAUUACUGCCAGGUGAAGUAGUGUUCAUUGAUUUGACAGCUGAGAAUGAUGAACAGAAGCAAAAAGAAAAUGACAAACAGAAGAAGAAAAAAGACAAAAAGAAGUUGAAGUGGUUGAAAGAAGCCGGUAAGAAAUCAAAAAUUAGGAAGGAACGCAAAAUCCUUGAUAAAACAUGGAUUGAAAAGGCUGAUGCUCACAGUACAGAGGACAACAAUGAAAAAACUGAGUCAAACUCAAAUAACCAGCCAAUUUCGGAAGAUAUAGUCACAGAAAGUACAGAGCGAACGGACAGAAUAUCGGUGAAUAGCAAUAGAUUUGCCAAACGAGUGACUAAACUACAUGCAGAUCCCAUUGGCGGGAUAAAGCAGAAGAAAAAUAAAUGCAACGUUAAUUGUAACGGGUGUGAACUGUGUAAUUUGAUGGGACAACUGAAGUAUACGACUAUUGAUAAAAUGGGAGAUAUAGAAAGUUCUGAAAACCUCAUCACAUCACAAUCGUCGCCACUUAAGAAAGAAGAUGCAACAAUUUUUGUCCACACAACAUUUGCCGAUUGCGUAAACGAAGAACUGAAAGGUUCUGGAGCUUAUAAUAUUCAAACUGUGUCAGAAUCGUGUGGCUCUUAUCAUGGUACGGAUCAAACCGAACGAAAAAAUGCUACAGAAAGCACGAAGCAAGAGCCGCACGAUGUUAUAGACGAUAGUACAACUGAUAAAAACUGUGAUAAUCUAAUUACUACAAUUACAAAUACGUCUAGUUUUAAUAUUACUAGUGAAACUGAGAAGAAAAAGGACAUUUUCGUCAAACGAAACGUUCCUUCAUCAAAUGUAAAAUCAGAGGCUGGUCACACGACGGAAAUUGACGCGGCAAUACCUUCGAAAAUUUCAUGUAAAAAUUCACAGUAUAUUUCGAACGUUCCUGACGACACGAAAAUGAAAAAUGGUAGUAAUGAAAUUUGCAUUGUGUCAACUACAGCUUCGAUCUUUGGCUGUGGUACAGAGGAACAAAUAAACGUGAUAUCUGGAUCGUCAAUCGAACCUACGAAACAGGAGAAGGAACGUGAUCUGAAUAUGGGUGAUAAUAAUAAAUCGUACACAAAAGAAAUCGCGACGAUUUUCAAGAAAUUAGUUUCAACUUCAAAGAAGACUAAAUCAUUAGAUGUGGGUAACGAUAACUGUAAAAACGGGGUUAUCGAGGCUGUCCACAACAAAUUGCAAAACAGUUUAAUUCAUGCUCUAUCUUUGGAUGAAGUUAUCGAGGUAGGGAAAGAUGAUAUUGAUUCUCAGUCCGAGGAUGACGAAGCGAAAGGAUAUUGCAGCAAAUCAAUGGAUCAAGGAAGAAAAGUGCAAAAUUUUCACAAAGAGUUGCUCUGCAGUGAGGACAAUGAUUUUUUUCAAAUACCAGGUAUACAUCUGUGCGACGAUCUUACAAAUAACAAUGACGUAGAAAAUUUUGGGGAUAGUAGUAAAAUUGAUGAAUUUGAAAACAUUGACAUAUUGGACAGCAUUUUGAACGGCAAUAUGAGCAUGCAAGAUAUCCUUGAGGAGCAACAACACUUGUCCAUGACAUCUGGUAGCAACGAAACAUCCUCCUCCAACGUGAUGGGAUUUUUCACGGAAUCUCUUAGGCAAUCACAAACUGCACAGUCGGUUGGCGAAGAUUAUGCAAUAGAGGAGGCUUCCUGCUCGGAUGAAGUGCCCAAAUCGUUGCCAGAAGGCAGCCUGGGCACAAUUGGCAUUCUCAAUUCCCUUCUAGAUUCGGAUUUGACAAGCAUGGAUUCUCCUUCCAGUGAUUUUAUGUAUUCUAAUGUACAAACAGUCGAUCCUAGAUUGAUCAGGAGGACACCUACGGCAGAACAGAGUGCGUUUUUAAACGAUUUCAGCACAGUGUCGGAUUUGUUCUCUCGAAGCGAGCAUUCGUCAGCUGAUACUUUUCGGCCACUCGAGUCUCUCGCUAAAAAAACCAAGGACCAGUUGUUCCUAGAACAAAAAGACGGUCUGAAUUGCACGGACCUGGAAGAGUUUGGACUAAAUAGCAGUAAGCGAGCUGAUUUUGAAAUGCCUGUGCUUGAAGAAGAGCUGAUUCACCUACCACAGCAUGCGUUGAUCGACGACACAAUAAUAACACAGAUAUCUACUUCGACCCGCGAAUCGCACGUGACCAAUCGGUCUGAGAUUGAUAAUUUAAACGACGUCAAAUCCACGCUGCAAUCAUGUAUUGGUUCUCAUGAAUUCAACAACAUGCAACCGCUGGCAGAGAAUAGUUAUGACUAUUCAAAAUUGAAUCAUUUCAAAGACUUUGCGUCGUUUAAACUUAAAGACAUCAUACAGCAUUCGCCAGACUCGAUUGAUCACAGCGAAGAUUUACCCACGAGCACACUGACGGAUUUUACUCCUCCUCAUAGCGUCGAUGCUCCUCAAUCGCCAUACACUUUUGCCUCGUCAUCGCCACCUGUACAUGUUCAAACAGUUUCUUACUCUCCUACACAUUCCAUUGGCGAAUAUCGUCAUCAGAUAUCCACAAACAUGUUGAUGCCUCCUCCGAGCACGUCGCAACUAUCUUGUCAAAAUACCUUGACACCUCCUCCGACUCCGCAACAGAGUCAAAAUCCAUUGAGCGAAACUCUCGGUGAGCAGCAGUCGCAGGCAGCUUUCGCUAUCGACGGAAAUAUACGCGAGGGUGCAAUUUGUUACUUCACCGUCAAAUCACAAUUAUGUUCAGCUGCUGACGCCAGCAACGACGAUCUUCAAGAACAAAACUUAUGCAUGCAGAGUAAAAUUGCGACGCAACACGUACAGCCCAAAGUUAUGUAUGUCACUCGAUCUAAGAAAUGUGCCAAAUCGAGGACUCGAUCGACCAAAAUUGAGGAAGAUGAAACAGUCAAGCGAAAUGAAGACCAGUCUUUGCACCUGUCGCAGGUUCAAGUCGCCCUGACGAGAUUACCCGCAGAUGAAAUUAAAGGCGAAGAUAGCAGAGACCAGCGUUUACUCAAGAGUCACUUUGUUGUGAAAAAGGAGGGGGACAUUCCAUUUGGCAAACAGCUGAAAGCUCCACAAUUGCAACGUCUUGAUUUGACGAAACUGAGCAUAGCCGCUGCACAGAAGAAUAACAAAUCAGUGUUGAUAAAUUUGAACGGCAAGACAAAGCCGGCGUUGAUGUUUGAACGAAAUACCGUGCAGGGUGAGAAGUUGUUGAAAAGUAUGAACACCGACCCUGUCAGCAGUCGUCAUAUCGUGUAUAAAUUGACGCCUAACAUUACACCUGCUACCUCGAAAGAUAAGCCAUAUUCUAAGCUUCCUAAAGUUAACUUUACUGUACAAAAUCGUACCGACGAUGUUGUCGGUAAAUCGCAAUCGACGGCUGCCAGGUCUGUCAGCAGUAAUACAGGGACACAGCAAGAUCAGGUUCAGAAGAUUAUAAAACCGCGGUCUUACAUGAGACGAAGUGUUACAACUCAAGCUAGCCAGUCUGUCAAGGAGUUCAACGUCAGGAAAACUUUCACUGUUCACAACACGGAAGAACCAUCUCUGAAGAAACGCAAGAUCACUACAAAAUUGAUGCCGUCGUUAGAAAAUGAAGGCAUUAUUUAUACGGUUAAUCAGCAAAAGCCACAAGAGAAGCAUUCAAACGUUAUCAGAAGAGGUAAUUUACAAUUAUAUUUAUUUUUUUCCAGAUUAACGAUUAUGUCCGUGUCAAUUUUUCUUAGCUGUUACAUCCGUGGCACAAUAAUCAGCUUUUGUACAAAAUUUAAAACUAAAUCGCAGUUGUGUGAAUAUUUUUAUUUGCUUCGUGUAUCUGGAACCAGAAAACUUUGCUUUGAUAUCACGAAAUUGAUGUUUCCGAAAAAAAGUUGUUAAGAUAUUCAACCGACGAGUAAAAAUUCUUACAUCGGCGUCAAUGAAAACGUUUGACGAAAUUCAACAUUCAUUCGUCAAUGAAGAACUGACAUCUACAUCCAUGAAGAUAAGAUGUGCGAUCAUCAACGAAGAUAUCUUUGUGCAUAUUGCAUUAUUAUUCUGCUCUUCGUUCAUUGAGUAUUUCAUACAAACCUGCAUAAUUUUCUGCUUUACCUUACGGUAAAAAAUGAAGGCAAGCUAAUAACAAACAUUUCAUAACUUUCGAAAAAUCAUGAGCAAUUUCUUUGGUAUGUUCUUUCACUGAUAAAAUUCGGUUUAGAAUUUAGAUUCAUACACAUUUAUAGGCGAGUAAAACUACAAUUUCAAUUCAAUUGAAAAAUUUAUUUUUGAAGAUUAUAUUCGAAAUAACAAUCAUAAAUUCAUCACUUCUGGAAGAUGAAGCAUGUAAAAGAAUUCAGUCGGAGAGAUAGAACGAAGAAAAAAUUUGUCUGACGGAAUAACUGCCUGCACGAUUUACCAUGCAGCAUUAACAGCAGCCGUAAUACGAAAACACGUAAUCGAACCAGUGAAAAUACGUAAGACUUACAUGAUUAUAGUUAUAUUUUACAAUAAAUCACAACCGUCGGCUGGAAGGUAUGUAUACGUUAUAUACCCAUGUACAUAUAUUUAAAAUUGAAGAAUUUGUUAAAGAGUAUGAUAGAAAAAUCGACAUCUAUAUAUGGCGACCAUUUCCGAGAUCAGUUAUUAUUAUUAUUAUUAUUAUUAUUAUUGUUGUUGUUGUUGUGUACGGGGAUUUAUUUAUACUUGAAAUUAGUUUUUAAAUUAUUUCAUUCUCCCGACAGCAAUAACAUUAACUUUACCUUUGCUCGUUGUUUCAUUGUUUCUCCGUUUAUUGCUUUAUCUGUGAAUUGUGAGAAGGUGACGAAAGUUUUUUUAACAGUUAAUCGUUAAUCGCUAUACUCUUGCUACAUGCAUACGUGUAACACAAGUGCGUCACUCGAUUUUAAUCAUACAGCAUAUAUUCACUAAUUUACAGUGUCAUACAAAAACAUGUGAUAUAAAUUAACUACAGUAAUUUCGAUCCCUCCUUUAUUAUCAAUCAAUUGUUACAUUCUUGACGCGUAUGUAUUAUAUUUUUAUUAUUUCAUCGUUCGCCAUGCAAUUUUGGUACAAAACUAUCUAGAAAUGGUAAUUCGUUGUCGUUUGUUCGUAAAAUGUCCAAUCUAUACAAUACGUACGGUAAGAAACUAUUUCGCUUAUUUGUAAAUAUAAUAGUUGUAAAUAGAAGAAUGAACGAGACAGUGAAAACGUAACGUGUAUCUUGUGAUUUUAUUGAUGAUCUCUUACAAAACAAUUUAGACUUCAUUUGGUUUUUACAUUUUAAGUAAUAUAAAACUGAUAACUGUAUGAUACGCAUUGCAUUGAAUUUGUAUAUUGUAUAUAUACUUGUAAGUGUAUACGAGUGAGUGCAAAUAGUAAUUUUAAUUUUAUCGUCAUACCCGUAUAUUAUUAUUAUUAUUGAUAUACUGACAUGAAAUCACGGAAGAUAUUAUUACAAAGUAACUGAUGCUGCUAAAAGUCAUUCCAGAAAAUAAUAGUAACAGUAAUAUUAUUAUUAAAACUGUUAUAUUCUGUUAAAAAAUCGGUGUCAUUAGUUUAUCCGAGAAUUCAGAAUCAAUCAAAUAACACUUAGCAUAUAUUUACCUCCCCUGCAAGUUUGCCAAAAUCGAUUGAAUCUGAUAUACAACAAUUUUCUUUGAGUUUCAUUUCAUCUUCACGUAUGCGGAAGAUUUUAUUCCUGUAAAACGUAAACGUAAAUGUAACGAGGAAAAAGUCAUACUUGAAUUACCUGAGUUCAAAAGGACAUACGUAGAUUAAGUGCGUUUAAUAAUAGUAAUAAUAAUAACAAUAUUAGUAAUAAUGAUAAUUUUCUGGGCAUUUAUACCUAAUAUUAAUUGCUGUUAUGAAUUUGAUAUUUUGCCAUCGGUGUAUGUGUGUUUGUACAUUAUAGUAUAAUAUGAGGCAAAGUCCACAAUUUGAAUGAAUUGCACACGUUUUCUAAAAAAAUUCCCCAAAAAAGAAAAAAAAAAAAAUCAAAUUCAUUUAAUUUUAUAUAACAUAUAUAUUUUGUAUAUUUUUUUAAUUUUAUUUAACAUCGAUAAACUGUCAAAGAAAUUUACCAACGUCGCGUUAAACUUAUAAUUUCUAAUUAUUUUUAAUACAAUUUCAUGUUUCAAAUCGAAAUUAGCAAGCAAUAAUUUGCGACGUGUGAUGCAUCGUUUUAAGUUUUGGUUUUUUCUCAUCACUUGCGUAUUUAUUGGAUUUUAAAGAUUUUUUUUAUAGCCAAUUCCAUGAUGACAAUGAAAUUAAUUGAAGAAAUAGAACGCGUGUCCAGUCAUUGUUAACAUGACCUAGAAAUUUUUAUAUAUUAUUAUUUUGUAUCUAUAUUAUUUCCCAGUAGCAAAUUAUUAGGGAAAAAAACGAAAAAUAUGAAAAAAGAAAAAAAACCCAAGUACAAGUAAUAAGUAAUAAGGUUUAAUAUUGUAACGUACACCGCUGCAUAAAGAAAGGAAUGAUAUCGAAUAAACGUUGUACACUGUUAUAAAACUAAAACAAAAAAAAAAAUCAGAAAAUCAUACAACACUGGCGAACAGUAUGUAUUUUUUUUUUAUUUAUUUUUUUUCACAA